rnacentral:rRNA from 1 species
UGCGUAGGCGGCUCUGUAAGUAUGGUGUGAAAUCUCCCGGCUUAACUGGGAGGGUGCGCUAUAGACUGCGGGGCUCGAGUGUGGGAGAGGAAAGUGGAAUUCCUGGUGUAGCGGUGAAAUGCGUAGAUAUCAGGAGGAACACCGGUGGUGUAAACGGCUUUCUGGACCAUAACUGACGCUGAGGCACGAAAGCGUGGGUAGCAAACAGGAUUAGAUACCCUGGUAGUCCACGCCCUAAACGAUGCAUAUUUGGUGUGGGUCAUUCAGUUGAUCCGUGCCGGAGCUAACGCGUUAAAUAUGCCGCCGUGGGGAGUACAGUCGCAAGGCUGAA